UGGGGAAUUUGGACAAUGGCGAAAGCCUGAUCCAGCAAUGCCGCGUGUGUGAAGAAGGCCUUCGGGUUGUAAAGCACUUUUGUCCGGAAAGAAAUCCUUGGCUCUAAUACAGUCGGGGGAUGACGGUACCGGAAGAAUAAGCACCGGCUAACUACGUGCCAGCAGCCGCGGUAAUACGUAGGGUGCAAGCGUUAAUCGGAAUUACUGGGCGUAAAGCGUGCGCAGGCGGUUUGCUAAGACCGAUGUGAAAUCCCCGGGCUCAACCUGGGAACUGCAUUGGUGACUGGCAGGCUAGAGUAUGGCAGAGGGGGGUAGAAUUCCACGUGUAGCAGUGAAAUGCGUAGAGAUGUGGAGGAAUACCGAUGGCGAAGGCAGCCCCCUGGGCCAAUACUGACGCUCAUGCACGAAAAGCGUGGGGGAGCAAACAGGAUUAGAUACCCUGGUAGUCCACGCCCUAAACGAUGUCAACUAGUUGUUGGGGAUUCAUUUCCUUAGUAACGUAGCUAACGCGUGAAGUUGACCGCCUGGGGAGUACGGUCGAAGAUUAAAACUUAAAUGAAUUGAACGGGGU
rnacentral:rRNA from 1 species